rnacentral:lncRNA from 1 species
UUUGUAUUCUCUGGUCACAACAGGUUCUGUAGUUUGUUACGUACCCUAAAAACAUUGCAAAUAUAUAUUAGAUGCCAACGAAAAAGGCAAGAUAUUGGUAACUAUUUUGGAUGCGAGCACAUGAACCUCAUCCUAACUGCAUUCCAUAAAAUUCCAACUUUCAUGAAUAAAUUAAGACGUCUGGAUAUUAGGCACUCAUCUUGAGUAGUAAGAUUCGAUACUUGAAUUGAGCCUAGCUUGUUGAACAUCAAGGUCCAUGGUUCUUUCUUUUUCUUUCUUUUCUUUUCUUUUUUGAUCACAUAGUUGAUAAUUUUAUCCAUUUAGAUAACAAGAUGAAGCACAAGUUUUAAGGGAAAAUGCCCAUUUAAUACUAAUUCAAACCCUUUAUUUCCCAUUCCAAUGAUAAUCUUUUGCAUUAGCUCAUUCCAAUAUAAGGUAACCAUUUUUAUGCCCAAAUGCACAAAUCUUUAUGCCCAAAUGCACAAAUCUUUACUAAAGUCUUAACAAACCAUAUUAUUUUAAGACUAUUUUGCCCCCACCUCUUCAACAUGAAAAGACUUGGCCGGAACCUCGGACUUCGGUCACCGGCCACCGGACACCGACCGCCGGACACCGGUCACCGGAUUUUCCCCGACCGCCGGAUUCCGGUCACCGAAUUUUCCUCUGUAACCAGUUACUGACUCCCAAUAAUCAGUUACUGACCAGUUAAUGACCCAUAAUAACCAGUUACUAACCCUCAGUAACCAGUUCUUGAUUAAUUACUGACACCCAGUAACCAGUUACUGACCCCCACUAACUUUUAGUUUUCAGUUACUGACACCCAGUAACCACUUAGUUUUCAGUUACUAACCCCUAAUAAUUUUGGUUACUGACCGAAGAGGAGAGAACUGAGGAACCGGCCCGACGGUGAGCACCCACAUUUCUUCUCUGGGCACCUACCUUCCUCGACGGUGAGCACACCGGCCUCCUCCACCGACUCCGGCGCACGCCGGCAAGUAACGCCCUUCCAGGGGAGUAGGAGAAGCGGUGAGGCAGCUUAGAGCCGGUUUCCAGGGCUGUGCGGUUGCGGGUGAUUUUGCGGAAGCAGACGAGGAGGGAGAAGGUGGUGGUGGCGGUGCUGGCGUGUGGGACGACGAGGUUGGGCUGCGGCAGAAGAGACGACGGCGACUGCGCCGGGGACCGGGUGAUUGGGCGCUGCAGAAGGUGGAUCGGGAAGAGAAGGUGGUCGGAGUUGCGGAAGCAGACGAGGAGGAAGAAGAGGAGGGAGAAGGCGGUGGUGGCAGCGUCGGCGAGUGGGACGACGAGGUUGGGCUGCGGCAGAAGAGACGACGGAGACGGCGCCAGGGACCGGGUGAUUAGGCGCGGUAGAAGGUGGAUCGGGAAGAGAAGGUGGUCGAAGGAGAUGAAGUAGCGGUGCUUGUGUGGGCAGCUAGCGUCGGAGGAGGAGGAAGAGGAGGAGAGAGAGAGAGAGAGAGAGAGAGAGAGAGAGAGAGAGNNNNNNNNNNNNNNNNNNNNAAGAAGAAGAAGAAGAAGAAGAAAGAAGAAGAAAGAGAUAAAAAACUGUGUGGAUUUAAUUAAACACAGGGUAAUAACGUCUUUUUCUCAAUAAUCAUUGGAAUGGGCACAAGGAUAAGACUUUAAUUAAAAUGGGAUUUAGUUUUCAAAUAUUUAGGCAUUAGGGCAUUUUCCCAAGUUUUAAUCGUAUGCACUGCUAAAAAACCUUAAGGUGAACAAUAUAAGUUCCUCUCCUAUAUUGUGCAAUUUUUGCACCACUUGUUGUGAGCGGCACUCUAUUUUUCGUUCGGACUUUUGUCUCAUCAAGUUUUCCAAAUUUUAACAAGAUCACCAUAUACUUCUUACAUAACCUUUUUGGAGUAUUAUUUUCUUCUGUUAGAACAAGUGAAUACCCUUUUCACUUCUUUUCUUCUUUUGUUAUGUUACGUACAUGGUUCUUAAGAAAAGAAAUGAAUCA